UACCUCAAGCUUAUAUCAGCUCGGCCGCCAAGUACCCCUCAUCUUUUCUAGAACCUUACGACUCCCUGAUCAAAUUUUCAUCUCACAAAUCUUAAUCAAGCAAUCACUCGAUUUCAUCUCUUGUUUUCCAUUCCAAUUGCUCUCCAUCAUCUAACAAUUAUGAACAUAUUCAUCUAUCAUUUUCCUUUCCAAUCGAUCUCAAAUAAAAAUUAGAUCCCUACUAAUUUCUAUAUUGAUUUGCGAAUCUUCGCUCAUCCAAAAAUUUUCCCGUGAAUCCCUUUGAACCUGAGGUAUGUUUAGGGUUUUGAUUUCCUGAUUUAAUGCUAUAAGUUGAUUCUUAACUUUUCUUAUCGAUUAUAUGUUGAUAAUUAACUUUGUUAUUUCUAGGUUAAUUGUGAUAUUUCGAGCAUGUAUUGAAUUCUUUGAGCUUCCUCGACCAAUUCAACUUUAAUCGGAGAAUCUAGGUUAUUCUUAAUAAGCUUCAUUUUAUUCCUUUUAUGCUUUGUUUUAUGCUGAUUAAUAGAAAAUGACUGUGAUGUUUAAGCUAGGCACUUGAACUAAAACGAACUAGUUUUUAUGUNNNNNNNNNNNNNNNNNNNNNNNNNNNNNNNGUCUAUUUUGCUGGUUUAUUUGUGGAUGAUUGAAGAAACACAUUUUCAAUUUUUUGUGUUUAGAUUUUUAUUUUUAUUUUCCUUUUUCAAUAAUUGAUGUUUACGGUUGGAGGAUCUCUCGUUCUUUUGAUUACUUUUUCGAUUCUUCAAUUAACAUUUGUGUCGACCUUCCGUAUCUUUUGUGAUUGUCAUGUUUAUUAGGAACAACAAAUAAAAACACGAUACGUCAUUAUUUUCUUUUAAAUUAAUUUGAAAAUAAUUUUAACAAUUAAAACCAUCUAAACAUCAUUCUCUCUCAGCCAUUUUCGCGGUUAGUGCUCACCAGAACCACCUCCACCAUUACUCAUGGUGGAUAUUUCCUCCCUUCCUUCUCUUUCUCAAGCAUCUUUGAAAGAAAGAUAAUACUCCCUCCGAUCGUAAAUAUAAGAAAAAAAAUCCACUUUUUAGAUGCAUUGAGAUAUUGAUGUAUGUAGUCUAUGAUAUAAUCGAUAAUGAUAUGUCGUGUUUUCAUUCGUUGUUUCUAAGAAUGCAAUUUUAGGUGUGAUCCUAUCUAAGAAUUUCUCUAAGGUUGGAUUCUUUCAAAAAAAAUCUUUAACUUUAUGCUUUUAGUGAACCAUUAUAGCUAACUCUUGUUAUAAACACCAUACUAGUAGGCAACCAAUCUACCCGGUGACUUAGAAAGUAGAAACCAUUAAAUUGGUAUUUAUAUUCUAAAUUCCAUAUGAAGAUUGUGUUUUUUUUUUUUUUUUGAAAGUUGUGAAGAUUGUGUUUAGUUGUCACGACUUGUCCUUUUAUCUUGCGCAAAGUCCUUAAAUGUGUAACAAUAUUCUUAAUCUUCUAAAUGUCAGAAGACAUAUGUUUAAUAAUAGUUAUUAAAACACAAAUUUUCCAAAACUUCUUUAGAUCAUGUGGCUUCAUGUAAGGUGGUGGGCAAAUAUCUUGAUCUUCAAUAAAUGUCAUUUCAUUCAGCCAACAUUCUUUUCUUGUUGGCCACCAUGAAGGUUGAACCCAUCUCUCCAAUGAAUAUUUCGUUUAUGGUGGUUCAUAAUGUUGUAUUAAUGAUGAUAAAAGUUAAUACCUAAUAUUGUGUCAGGUAGUUCAUGCAACGAGUAAGGUGUUGCUGGUUCACCCUUCAUUCAUAGUUGAAAAUCUAUGCUCUUUCUCAUAUUUUGCAAUCAUUCUUGUAGGGUCGUUUCUAUCAAGCUAGUGAAUGAUUCAUCAGAAAAUUUAAGAGGUUGACGGAAAGAUAAAGUAAAACUUAAUAGAAACGAUCAUACAAGAAAGAUUGCAAAAUAUGAGGAAGACAAUAAAAUUUUAACAAUGAAUGAUUUGUUGAAGGGUGAAUCAACACCUUACUCAUUGCCAAACUAUAUUACAUUACACAACAUUAGGUU
rnacentral:lncRNA from 1 species